GUUUGAAACAGCCCAUAACGUGCAUCCGCUGUUUGGCGGGUCAGGUCCUAAACUUGAGCCUGUCAUCGGCUCAGAUGGGGUUUCUGGGGGAUCAGGGUCACCACGUUUCCUUGUCUGGAGAGUUCCGGUCACGACAGCACUGCUCAGUUCUUCGCAAGUGCAGGAGAGACGGAGAUGCUGUGCUGCUCAUGUGUGUAGUCAUUCGAGGCUCACACAGGCCAUCCAAACUGGAGCUGAGAAUGCCAAGGAAACCCCCCACCAGCUUCUUGUCUGGUUUUCCGCCUGUGUCCCUGGGGCAUACAAGGCAUCGCUUCACAUGCAGAGAGCAGGCAGGGGGAGGGAAGUUGGCCAGCGGUGGCCUCCUUCUGUGGUAGGUGAGGACUGACCGGCAAAGUGUCACCUUCCGGCCCAGGAACAGACUUUACCGGGUUGGCAGAUUGUUUCCUUCCAAACACAGAAGCGGGAGUCCUGGGAGUCCGGGCGGCAGCCCAGGUCCCCACGACCCGACCCUCGGAGCGGUUAUUUGAGAGAGAAUCUGCGUGGUUAGGAGUGGAGCUCAUCUUGCAGAGUCCCCAGGCUUCCCGGAGACAAAGCCCCGCGUUCUGUAAGCCUCACCUGGGGCCUGUCUGCGCGGAGAGUGGCCAGGUCCGGGGCUGGCCACAGUGCCAGCUCCCCCUGCUUCCACGGGAGCCCCAGAACAGGGCUUCAAUCCAUUCUAGUCAGAACACGGGAGUCUCCGCGUCAGGAACGACACAAUUGCUUCGAUUCCGUUCUUGCCAGGACACCUGGGCGUCGGCCGUCGGGUGAGGCACUAAAUCUGCAGUCCACGCCCCGCGCCUCUGCCCUCAGCGUGUCCUGAAAGCGGUGCGGUUGGGCUGUUCCAGGAUUAACACCUCCUUGGGCUACUGGUUCCCACGGACUCACCUGGGAGGCUCCAGCCAGGACGGAGCUCUGUGUCCGGUCAGCUCUGCCCCGGGCCCGCCUCCCCGCCUGCACACGGGCGCAGAAACACCGCAAGGCAGAAUUACUUGGGUAAGUCCAAGGAGAGGCCGGAAGGCUACGCAAAACCCUGCGACAUGCCGGACGUCGGCGAGUUUCAACCAAGUGGAGAUGUUUAUCCUGGAUUAGAGACGUUUGAGAAGUAAUGAAAUUAUGGAACUCGAGUGUUUGGACAGCUCCGUCUCGGCUGCACAGCGGGCCCUCCUGCCCAUCCCGGAAACUCUGAGUUAUCGAUCAGGAGGGUCUGCCUGGCUACCAGCGGCCGGUCCUUCACGGAGCCUGAGUCGUCGCGACGGGCGGGCUCGGGCCGAGGCGCCGUGUUCCCAUCAGAGCGGCCAGGCAAGAACUGAGGCGGCGUGUGACGCGGCGUUUUCUCUUCUGAAAUCCGUCAGACGGAUGAAGUGGGGCAGCGGGCUGUGUUCUCCAGUGGUUUCUGCCCCGAAGGCUCAUGGAACUCACACUUUCAGAUGCCGCCUGGUUUGAGGCUUUUAAUCCAAAGUAAAUCUUUGCACUUACUGCCUCUGUCAAGGCCAAUACCUGCGUGAGGCACGGUCCCGGUUUCUGUGCGGAGGACGUGCCGCGUGUUCGGCGAAGGACUUCAGCACGGGGCCUGCCGCGAGCAGGACGUCGGUGCCCACCCACGUCUGCUCCUUUCGGCUCUGCGACUUUUCACGCACCAGAUUAGCAACAUAAAAGACAGACGCUAGAUUUUCCUCUAAGAUUGCCUUCACCUCUGAAAGCGUAUGACUCACCUGGAAGCGGGUACGGGGACUACAGGAAGGGUUUAGUCAGGGGGCGCGGCCAGCGACACGGGCGUGAAAAUGCUUCAUACCCGGGGUCUUCAAGUGUCACGACAUUAGUCUUCCUUAGGCUUCAGGACCAGAUCGUGCUGCGAAAGAUGAGCUCAGGGAGGGAAAUCAAGGGCGGAUGCAAAGUGACUCCAUAUCGACCGCGUGGCUUGUACGCGAUGCGUUGUUUGCGCCAUGAAGUGGCCGUGUUGUUGUAUGUGUCAUGCGUGUGCGCACGUCAGUCCGUGUGCCGAAGCACGAUCGUGUUGUUGUCCCCACUUGGCAGAUGGUAAAACCAAGGUGCAGACAGAGCAGAUGAUUCAGCUGAGGUUACGUGACUAGUAACCGGUCCGCCGGCGUGGGCCUCCGCCUCGUCUGCGCUGCGAUCACAGCGGGACUGUUGGUCUUACCACUUUGACUUCCUCCUGGCUUCCGAGUCUCGUUUACGAGGCUAAGGGGAAGAGGGGGCUGGAGAGCUCGCCUUUCCAUUAUUUGCCGGCCACCAAACAGACCAAAUUCGGAAAUGUCACAGGACGAGGGGGUUAGUCCUGGGUUGAGCGAGAUCUACACCAGCACACUGUGCCGCGCACGUCAAGAAAGGCAGUUUGAGCCGGCCGCGCACCAGUGGUUCCCACGUUGCCGUGGGCUGACUUUGCUGCCUGGUCGCAUUCGAGGAAGUUGGGGAAGAAUGGCAGUGUGGGUUAUCAUCUUCAAAUCUUGCUUCAGGAGACACUGGAGAGUCUCAUUUCUACAUUCCUUCGUCUGCUGGAGGACGCUGAACAGUAGUUUCUUUGUGAAGGAAUUUCAGACCUUUCCCCCCACCACAGAGAUCUCCCCAAGCACACAAAAAGGUAAAUCCUGGCACCUUUCACGCAUAGAGACAAACAGUGGCUGUGCCAGAGUCUGGCGUGGCUUUUCCACGCACAAGCACGUGUUCUCAGGGGCAGGAAUCCAAGUCUGUCACGAGUAAAUGAUGAAUUCCUCUCUUCAUUCCAGUGGCACAUCUGGGUUUUGUCUCCCUUCACGACUGUUCUGUUAGGUGAAGUGUCCGUGAAGACGGACGGCCGUCUCCAGGAGUUACGAAAGUGGAUUCCCCAUAGUCCGUGGUUCCUCUCUUGGCGUUCCUGUGGCGUCCUCGUUGCCUCCAGCGGCAGGGACGGAGACUGGGCCCCUCUCACGGGUGCACCUCCCUCUGCUCCCCGGGGGCCGGCCAGCCUCCCGCCGGGAAGCCCGGAGGAAUGGGUCAGACCACAGGCGGGCUUCAGGGCUGAUGUCCAGCACAGCCACGUUUGGUGGCCUCACCUUGCAUUUCAACCUGGAGCUCCUCCUCUCUAAGCAGUGCUUCUUUAUCCUCUCCUUCAGCUGUACGUGGAGCUCACAUGCAGAAUCUGGAGUUAUACGUGGCUCUUCCCAUGUUCUCCCCACCGUGGAGGGGACGUAUGCCGGCUUGUCCUAGAGGAGGGUGGUAUUUACACUAUAGAAACGAUAGCGCUUCCCAUGUGCCGGCAGAGUUCUAGACUCGUUCUCAGGCCCUUGAAGUGGACGCUGUGAUUAUCCCCAUCUUAGGAUGAAGACACCAAGGCACCUGAGGUUGCACGAGGUGGUGUGAGUGCAGCCUGGCCAAGCCGUUCUGAGCUCUGUGUCUUCUAUUACUGAUGGGGAAAGUAGGAAGGUUCCAGAGAGGCUUGAGUUUGGGGAAAAGUGGCUACUUUCAAACCUGUUGUUUAGACAACAAAAUCUUGUAGGCAGAGCUGUGUGAUCUGCCCUGCCUGCUGCACGCUCGGGAGGUGGUCCUCGGUGAGCAAGAAAAGGUCCCAGUGCUUGGGAAAAUGUGGAGAAAAAGGAGUCUAGACAUUUGGAAACAUGCCUCCAAGUGGAGGAAGUCAGGACACGUGGAGCCUGCAUGAGGUUUGAGGAUGACGAGCAAACAUGAAGCGAUUUAGCAACAUGUGUUGUUAGAGCUGGAUUUCACUUAGGUGUGCACCAAGCACGAGCGCCCAGGUGUGCACCAAGCACGAGCGCCUAGGUGUUUACCAAGCACGAGCACCCAGGUGUGCACCAAGCACGAGCACCUAGGUGUCUACCAAGCACGAGUGCCCAGGUGUGUACCAAGCACGAGCG